rnacentral:rRNA from 1 species
UACGAAGGGGGCUAGCGUUGUUCGGAAUUACUGGGCGUAAAGCGCGCGUAGGCGGUUUUGCAAGCCAGAGGUGAACUGCCUGAGCUUACCUUAGGAAUUGCCUUUGGGACUGCGAGGCUUUGAGGACGAGAGAGGUGAGUGGAAUUCCCAGUGUAGAGGUGAAAUGCGUAGAUAUUGGGAAGAACACCGGUGGCGAAGGCGGCUCACUGGCUCGAUACUGACGCUCAUGUGCGAAAGCGUGGGGAGCAAACAGG